rnacentral:lncRNA from 1 species
UUCAUAAUGAACGCAGCAUCCCUGGGGAGUGAUCUGAAGCUGGCGAGGCAAUGAGGACACCCUGGCAGGGCAGCUGAACUGGGUGGAUCCUUGUUCUGUCACCAAGCCUUUAAGUCAUAUGCUGACAUGUUACAGUCCUGCCUGGGACCCUGCCCACAAAUACUUAAGAUACAUACUUUGGGAAUCACCCAACUGAUGGAAAGAACCAGGAAAGGGGUCAGGAUCUGCACCUUGGCAAACUUUGAAGAACACCCAAUUUGAUGAAUGAAAACUCCUCACUUGUGCUCUGGUGGUGUUUUAGGACAAUGGGCCCCUCCUGGGUAAUAGUUAUUGAUGCAGUCUCUAUCAGUAACCACCCCAAGUUUGAGAUCCUUUACAAGGCAAGGUCAUAUUUCCAAAACUGAAACCUUGACCAAGUAUCCCAGAGAGAUAGGAAGGAGAUACCACUCAAGUGUGUCAUGGGCCUGUCCCAGGGCCUGGGAGUCAGCAGUUGGUGGCCUGGGAUCCAAGGGUUAACAGCAUGACCUAUUCUGGCUGGCACCAGUCACAUGGUGUGCCCAACCUCACUGUUAUUAUCUGUUUCGGGUGAGUCACUGAGAACACAGACAGGAAAGACCCAUGAACUUAGCUAGUUUCGCCCCAGGGUCUGAGACUCCACACAGCUGAGUCUGGGCCACUGGCAGUGACUCAUGGCGGGCCUCAUGGGAUUGCUGACGCAAGGUUGGAAGGGCACGUGGUUCUUCCCCCCACCGCUGGGUAGAAUCCCCGCCAAAACAUCCAGGCUGGAAAUCCAUCUUGGUCCUUGGGGA